rnacentral:misc_RNA from 1 species
UAAUUCAAGAGUUACAAGAUUUCAUAGUGUCUUCGUGGACUUAUGUAGUUGAACUUGCGAGAGAACAAGCUCAUUUGUCAUCUAGGAAAGUUAUUAGACUAUUCUGGAACAUAAUUAGCAUAGGUGUGGCUAAGCACAAGGCAAUCCCAGGCCAUGGGGCGCACAAGGCAAUCUCAGGCCAUGGGGCUUGCACCUGUGUUGGUGUCAAGCAAGGCACCAUCCCUAAGUUGUGCACCUUUAGGGUGCACCCAGGUGUGAAUUUUUUUUUUCUCUAAAUAAAUGGACUUCUAAACAGCAAGGUAUUAUGAUCCCAGCGUUUAUUAAAUGAACUUGAUUGUAAACUUUGAGUUCUAGGACUCCAACUGAAAAAGAUAAGAAGUUUUAGAAUGUCAUUUAUUAUUUAUAUUUAUUGCUUGUCUUUUUCUUCCCCUCAAAGCUUAGCAUGUCAUCUUUGUCUCAAACUAUCCCAUAAUAUGCAAUGUUAGGGAUUUAGAACCUUGGGAAUUCCUUUGGAUUACCAAGUCCCCCAAAACCAACCACCCCCUACCACCCCCACCUCCUAGGACCAACAAAAUUAAAUUUACAGGGACAGUAUAAUAUUGUCUUAGAAAUUUGCAUGUAGCAAUUAAAUUACCAGAAAGUGAAGCUGUACAUAAGCUUGAACAUUGCAGACUUGCAUGAUGCAUCAGACUAAUAAAGGCGUAUCUUUUUAUCGCAGGUUGUGAUGCCUACAGUAGA